UGGACUUGUAUGUGCCUCAGGUUUAGAAGAGGUCAUCGUGGGGGGCGGAGUCAUGUGUCCCAUCUAAUAUGGCAAUUAGGCCUUUUGUCACUUCAUUUAACCGUUUUUAAGAGUACCAUCAAGGAUCUCAAGUCCAUUUUAGAGGGCGGAGUUGACGCCUUGUCUUCAAAUUUACAUGAAUGAACAUUAAAGGUUUAGAAGAGGUCAUCGUGGGGGGCGGAGUCAUGUGUCCCAUCUAAUAUGGCGUUUUGGCCUUUUGUCACUUCAUUUAACCGUUUUUAAGAGUAGCGUCAAGGAUCUCAAGUCCAUUUUAGAGGGCGGAGUUGACGCCUUGUCUUCAAAUAUACAUGAAUGAACAUUAAAGUUAAAGCACACAUGAUAUUGAGAUAAUUUUACAAAUAUUUAAUGGACUUGUAUGUGCCUCAGGUUUAGAAGAGGUCUUCGUGGGGGGCGGAGUCAUGCGUCCCAUCUAAUAUGGCAUUUUGGCCUUUUGUCACUUCAUUUAACCGUUUUUAAGUGUAGUUUCGGUCAUUAUUGAUCUAAUUUUGCAUUUUUGUGUUCCAUUUGUAGGUACCGUCAAGGAUCUCAAGUCCAUUUUAGAGGGCGGAGUUGACGCCUUGUCUUCAAAUUUACAUGAAUGAACAUUAAAGGUACCGUCAAGGAUCUCAAGUCCAUUUUAGAGGGCGGAGUUGACGCCUUGUCUUCAAAUUUACAUGAAUGAACAUUAAAGGUUUAGAAGAGGUCAUCGUGGGGGGCGGAGUCAUGCAUCCCAUCUAAUAUGGCGUUUUGGCCUUUUGUCACUUCAUUUAACCGUUUUUAAGAGUAGUUUCGAUCAUUAUUGAUCUAAUUUUGCAUUUUUGUGUUCCAUUUGUA